CUCUUUAGAGAUGGAGUCAGUGACUCUCUUGCUAGGGGUGCUGCUGCUUUGGGUUCCAGGAUCCACUGGCGACAUUGUGCUGACCCAGUCUCCAGCUUCCUCAGCUGUUUCACUAGGACAGAAGGCCACCAUCUCCUGCAAGGCCAGUCAGAGUGUCAAUUAUUAUGGCGUAGUUAAUUUGAUGCACUGGUAUCAACAGAAACCAGGACAGCCUCCCAAACUUCUAGUCUAUGGUGCAUCUAAAAUAGCAUCUGGGGUCCCUGCCAGGUUCAGUGGUAGUGGGUCCGGGACGGAUUUCACCCUCACCAUUAAUCCUGUGGAGGCCGAUGAUGGUGCAACCUAUUACUGUCAGCAGGGUAAGGAGUUUCCUCCCACAGUGCUCUAG